ensembl:lncRNA
AGGCGGCGAGACCACUGAGCUAAAUCCCGGCCCAGGUUUUGAUCUAUUGCAGUUGUCAUUUUCAUUGCAGUUCACAGUGUGCUGUCAUUGGCCAGGGCAGCAUCUUCAGGUUGGCUCCUGGGUCAUGUCAGGACAGGAUCCCAGGUCCUCACAUCUGGGAUGGUUCAGUGUUCAUCAUACACCUGUCCUGCUCCAGACCUCAAACCAGCCAUUCCUUCAGAAAGAACUGGUUUCUUCUAGUGGGAAAUGGCAUUGGCAGACCAUGGACUGGGCCUGGGGAGACUGGUUGUCACCAAAGGUUAGGCCUUUCCAGUGGACAGAGUUGGGAAAUGUGUAAACAUAAGACUUUGAGAGUUUCUGUGGAUGUUUCCAGUUCAGGCAAUUGUUCAGGGACACAGGGUUCCUUUGGGUCUUUGCUUCUCAUGUGGAGUUCUCUGAUUUCACCUCAUUUCUAAGUUCUGCCAAUUCUGGUUUAUGUUGUUCUUUAGUGUCCUUUAGCCACGGGAUAUUGCCGUUUUGAUCUGUUUCUGCCAGGAGCUUCCAUACGCCCUCCACAGCCCUGACCUCAGGAUUGUUUGUGUGGACGCUGGAGUGUGUCCCAUGUGGCCCUUUCCCCUAUCAGAUAGGGUCCCGUGAGCUCCUGGGCUAGGGCCUAGUCCAGCCCCUCUGGCUUCUGUCUGGCUGACCCCUUUCUUUGCUUGUAAGUCUGCUCAGGCAGUGGUAAAUCUAGCUGCCAUCCUUUCCAAUAAUUGUUUUUUGUAGUGCUUGGGAUGGAACCCAGGGCCUCAUGCAUGCUAGGCAGCCUCUCUACCAUUGAACUAGCCCCUUCCUUGUAUGCUGUACCCUAGCUGCCUUUCAUAUAUUUGUUGUUUUGCUCAGUGUAACCAAUUUCCCAGCCACUUUGGCUUUUGGGGUCCCUCUGUCAGCAGGAGAGAGUUAUUGGAAAGGCCAACUUUUGAGGCAGGCAUUGGAACCACUGAGCUACAUCCCUGGCCCCCCUGUUGAUUAACUUUUGACCUGAGUGUUAAAAUACUCAGAAUCAGGCCAGGGAUGUAGCUCAGUGGGGCCACGCUUGCCUGGCAAGUGCAAAGCCCUGAAUUUGAUCCCGGUACUGGGAAAAAAAAUUCAGAGUCACUCCAAAGAAUAGGAAAAAGUAUGCAUACUUCCAGCUAACAGGACUGACAGUGGAGUGAGGCUGGGAAGGGUGUAGGACAAAUGGAGGACGCAGAUGAGCAGGAAGAUGUAGGUUGUUGAAGGAAGCUACCAAAUGAAGAAGUCAUGUCAUUAAAGACUUCGGGUGAAGUUUUCUCAUGGUCCUUGGACUUCUAGGAGUACCCAGAGUUUAAAAGAGUUUCUCUGCUAGGAUAUUUCUGUGGGAUAGAAAGUUUUCUUGUCUGCUUUUAAUCUGUAUUUUGAACUUACAGAAAAGUUAAAAUAGUACAGAGUUUCCAAAUACCCCUCACUCUGUUCAUGUAAUGUUAAACAUUGAUGUGAUGCUGUUCACUGAGGACCUUAUUAGAUUUUUUUGGAUUUAAUUUUUAAAAAAUUGAUAAGCUUUGUUCUUUAGAGCAGUUUUAGGUUCACAUACAAAUGAAGAGAGGGCACAGAGUUCCUGUGUGAGCCCCUGCACCCCGCCAAGGGUGCAUCUGUGUUGCCCUGGAUGGCGCUGGCUUCUUGGUGCCCUGGUGCGGAUUCUGUGGGCUUAGAUGUGCAACAGCUGGCAGCCACUGGCACCGUCAUACAGAGCAGUCUCUCUGGCCCAGAGCUUCUCUGUGCUCCCCUUCCCCUAGCACUUGGCGACCUCUCACGUUUUACUGCCGCCAUAGUUGUGCACUUUUCCAGCGUGUCACUCAGCUGAGGGUCACAACACAGGUGGCCUCUUUCAUUCAGCAGUGUGCACAUAAGUUUCCUAAUUUCCUUUCCAUGGACUCCUGGCUUGUGCGUUCAUUUUAUUUUAGCAUGGACUAAUACUCCACUGUCUAGAUGUACAGGUUCAUCCAUUCACCUACUGCAGGGUGUCUUGCUUGCUUCUACGGUUUGAUAAUUAUGAAUGAGGCUACUGUAGACACUGUGUGCUCACGGCUUUUCAGGGGCCUUGGUAAUACCCAGGGGUCAGUACUGAGUCUUAUGGCGGAGGAUGUUCAGUUUGGUAAGACAUGGUCCAGCCAUCUUCCAAAACGCUGUGCGGAGGGAGGCAGGAGGAUUGCUGUGAGUUCAGGGUCAGCCUGGGCUCCAUAGCGAGACCCUGUCUCAAAAAACAAACAAAAAAAGCCAAAUGUCUGUGCCAUUUUGCCUUCCUGCAGGGCGUGAUGAGGAUUCUUUGCGGUGGGUACUCAUAGGUGUGCAGUGGUGUCUCUCUCACUGGUGCUUUGCAUUUCCCUGAUGACUGAUGUGGAGCAUCUUUUCACACGCGCAUCCCCCCUCUGUCGCCCAGGCCUUUUGGCUGCUUUUAAGAUUGAGUUGUUUUCUUUUUUUUGGUACCAGGGAUUGAACUCGGGUCCUUGUACUUGCUGGGCAGGCAGUGGAACCACUGAGCUAAAUCCCCGGCCCUGGGCUGUUUUCUUAUUGUUGAAUUUCAAGAGUUCUUUGUGUACAGUCUUUUGGAUGAGAGCCCUUUAUCAGAUAAGUCUUUUGCAAGUAUUUUCAUUGAUGUCUUACCACCUAGGAUCCCUCACGGGUUUGGUUGUCACAUCUUUGUCCCUUCCACUCUUAAUGGCUUCUAAGUCUUCCCUUGUUUUUCUUUAAAUAGGUAAAUUAGCUCAUUUGUCUUUAUUAAUAUUUGUGACACUGGGGAUUGAACCCAAGGGCUCGCGUGUGUGCUAGACAAGUGCGGCUCCCACUGAGCUACAUUCCCAGUCUCACCAAGGUGGGCAGGCUGGCCUUGAACUCACAGGCCUCAGCCUCCUGAGUAGCUGGGAUUCUGGCAUGCAGAGCACCAUGCUGGCUCUGAAACCUCCUUAACCUCCUGGCCAUGGUCCCCUCUGUUCCCCCUAACUGGAGGCUGACGCAGGCUGCCUUUCCUGCUGCCCCCACAGUCCCGGUGUCCCAGGCUUCCUCUAGUCUCCUGGAGCCCCUGUCGGUAGCCUUGGUGUGGGGACAGCAGGGUGACUGGCUGUCACGCUGUGUCCGCGCUUCCUUCACUAUGCUUGUUUUCGAUGCUAUUGCGUGCUGCCCUGCCUCAUGUCCUGGUUUAAGGCUGGGCACCAGAUUAUUCCUUUGCCUUCCUGAGUUACUCUCUCCUUUCCCCUGUGGCGGAGCCGUCCAGACCGCCCUGCACCUGGGGCUCUUGCAGUGGGCAGGGCUUCCUCAGCCCAGUGUCACUGCUGUGCCUUCCGUGUGUGUAGGCUCAGGCCUCCUUCCCUUGCUUCUCUGCCUUCUAUCCCUGUCAGCUUUUCCUGGUCUCAUUUUCUUUCUAGGGUUUCCUGUCUUGUUUACUUUGUCUCUUUUUCCUGGGGCCUAGUAAUUUACUCAUCUAGAGGAUAAUUUUGUCUCUUUCUCCACAUCUAUCGAGUUCAUUCAACUCUCAUCUCAAGUCUUCCUGGGGUUUUUGUUUUCUAAAUGUUUCCUAGGCUUGGGGCUUUUGAUUCAAGAUGAUUUUUUGUCCUUCAGUGGGAAGUUAAGUAUGUCUUCAUGCAGAGUGUCGCCUCAGGGUUGUCCUCUGUUCUGUCAAAGUGGAACUUGCUCUCAGACUUUCUGCAGUGAGUGUCUCUCCUGGAUUUGCUGGUCCGUCCAGUGUCUCUCUCUCUCAUUCUCUCUCUCUCUCUCUCUCUCUCUCUCUCUCUGUGUGUGUGCGCGCGCGCCUGCACCCCGCUUGGGCAUUUGGGUGCCUGUGAUGUCGUGGCGCCCUCUCCUGGCAGCAUUGUGAAGUCCAGGCUGCCAAGUUUGCUCGCAGCACUGGACUUGCAGAACCCUAACUUCUUUUGCUUCUCCCUCCCUCCUUCACCACACAGCCGUCAAGGGCUCUCCUAGGGACAUUUCAGUUUCCCUCUGCACACUCCUCAGGUCUGGCGCGGGACCCUUUCCUGCAGCCUGUGCUGGUGCCCUGUGUGUGCCCCAGCUUCCCAGGGUGCCUCUGCACCUCACUGCCUGCUGCCUCACUUGAAUUCAGCAGUGUCUGGCGGUACCCUGCUGGGGAGAGUGGUGGCUCUUCCCUCCCUUCGUGAGGUCAUUUUGGACGUGGGCAUCCCCGAGGCCUGUGUGAUGGCCAGGCCCCUGUGCACGUCUUCCCCUCAUUGCUCUCGGUUGUGAGAGGAUAGUAGGCAGCCGGUGCCAUCGUCAGCCUCUUGAGGUGAUGCCGUUUCUUUAGCUGAGUUUUGAGUGCUUUCGUAGCUCUUGAAAGGUCACACAGAUGCUCUGAGGGUGUGGAGCUCUCGCAGAGGGUGGGGGCAGCUCCAGGCAGGCUGCUCCGGCACCCCUGUCCUGGGUGCCACUGACCUGAACUGCUCCUCAGGCAGGGGCAGUCAGUCCAUGCAGGCGAGGACUCUUGACACCCUGGAGAGCUCCCAUCACUGCUUGGCGAGUGGUCACGGCAGCCCUGCACAGAGUGGCACAGGCUCAGGGUGUGUUCCAUCCUGUGUCCCCAGUCACUUUCCCAGAGAGAACUGCCUGUCCUUCAGCCCUGAAGACCGUGGGCCCUGAGCUGCACUUGCUGGCAUCUGGGUUGCAGCUGGUGGUGGUGUUUGUGCCGGGGCCUCUCUCAUCUCAGGUUUGUUUUGGGCUGUUGCUACAUAGCAGGCCACGUGCAGAGGCAGCAGAGGCAGGGCAGCAUCGCUCACCCUCAACCCUCAGCCUUUCUGCUGGGCCCCCAUGGCCACGAGGGGCUUUGGGUGAGCGGGAGUGUGUGUGUGUGUGUGUGUGUGUGUGUAUGUGUGUGCGUGCCCUGCCACACUCCUCCAGCAGUCUGUGGGCGACUGUUCCCACCUCGGCAGGUCCUGGGCUGUGUGUUAGGUUUGCUCACCGUGACCAGGACACCCACAAGCUCUGUGGUCGGAUUUGGGGACAGUGACUGCCAGCCCCUUCUUGGGGCAGAGUACAGCCAUGUGGUCAGAGUGAUUGCAGUACCAAGUAGGACACUGUGAGCAUGCACCUAUGUUUUUUGUAACUUGAGAGAAAUUUAUUUGUGUUUGUGAAAACCCACAGAGCCAUGGGGAUCUGUGGCUUAUAAACAUGCAGUGGCCAUCUCCAUCCACCCCCCUUCCCCCCCCACCCGAGCCUGACACAGAA